GAAGAAGUUGUAGAAAAUGACAUCACAGAGGACAUCACAUACAGUGACAUCAGAAUAUCACAUCACCAACGGCAGCCAAUCAGACGAGGCAGAGAGAGUGAUCCAGCUGCAGUCUACUCAGCAGUGAGAGGAACAGAUGACGUCAUUUAUGGACAAAUAGCCAUCAAACCACAAAGGACGAAAGAGUUUCCAGCAGAGCCAGAGGUCGUCUACUCUUCACUGAGGUAGACCUUCACACCUUCACACCAGUCCAACCACUGAUGUCCAGCUGGCCUGGAACUGGUCCCCAGAGCCCCUCACACCUCAGCACAUCCAUUUAUUAGAUUUGUUAUUUUUAUAUGAUUUAGAUAAAUUAGACAAAGCAACACUUCCUCAUACAGAAAUAUAAACAAAGUGCCCCAGAACGACACACUGUAUAAGUUGGACAGUACAAUGACAUACAGGCGUACUGGGCCUUCAGUAAGUAAGUCAUCCACAAAACUUAUUUAAUUAAUAUUAAUUUAAUUAAAACAUGUAAAUUUUGACUUUCUUUCACUGGGACUCAAUCGUUGGGCUCCUGAGUGAAGGUCUUCAGUUUACUUCACUCAUCCAUCCACAGACUUUGUUUCUGGUAGCUUCACGUUGUUUUGUGGGUAAUAACUAAGUUUACUGUUAUUUUAUGAUUUAUUUAUGUUUAUUGUUUCUUGUUGGCACAGUAACGUGUUUCUUUGUUGGAUCAAUAAACUUUGUCUCGUUCUUGUU